UCUCUCUCUCUCUCUCUCUCUCUCUCUCUCUCUCUCUCUCUCUCUCUCUCUCCAUGGCCUUGCAGCUACGGUGGUCUCCCAACACUCUGUCGCUUUUCUUUUCCACUCUCUCCCUCAUCUCUCUCGGUUCCGGCACAACCCUUGCCGUCGUCGACUCCCCCGCCACCGUCUACUGCAUCGUAUCGUCACAACAAACAACAUAAUCAAUUGGUGAGUUGUCUUUCCCUCUAUCUAUCCACGAUUAUGCUGCCCCUACCAUGGCCAACCAAUUGGUUUCCGAUUUCCCUAUUUUUACUGAUUCAAUUAUUUAAUCAGCUUUCUCUUUCUUCGAUUUUGUUUGACAAUCAAAUGGCGAGGUGAUGGCUGUUUGAUACUCGCAUGCAAGCAUCGAGUGAAGCUUAGGGUCGGAUACAAAAAAAAAAAAGAAAUCCAGUAAACUAUCACUCCUCAUUCGCUUCCGGAUACUUUGAUAGUUUACUGGAUUUCUUUGAGCUCAAAAUCUAAUGGGUCAAAGACGGCGGCAAAAUGGUGAUUGUUCGAUGCAGAAGCCCAAUCGUCUAUGUGGGUUACGAAUAUAGUGUUCAUUAAGUUCUCAAAGGAUUUACAUAUGAUGUCAUACAAUCGGUUGUUUGAAUCGUUUCUUUCAAAAGAUACGACGGUGUUUUACAUGACUGCUGAUUCCGGUUGUUUGUGGAGGUGUACCUGUAUUCAGUGUGUAUGUUAUGUUUCAGGCCAUAUACACUUCAUAGAAAAAUCAGAUGGCAUUGCAAAAACGCUGAUAAUGUUUUAUUCUGGUAGAUAGUUCGGUAUCUUGAAAGGAAUAUUGAUUAUAGGGUAACAGGGAAUUAAGGCAGCUGCUUUGAUAAGAAUGUUGUUUCAGGACCCACCCUUGAGUUAAUUUGCAAUUCCAGGUCUAUUGGCGCAACAUUGUUAAUGCAAAGUAUUCUACAUAAUGCAAAAGGGCACAUGUUUAGCGUAUUGAGUUAUUGUAUUUUCUAAAUAUACUUUAUUUAAGAGGUGUGUAUCCAAUACCGUUGCGUUGUGA